UGGGGAAUAUUGGACAAUGGGCGCAAGCCUGAUCCAGCCACGCCGCGUGAGUGAUGAAGGCCUUCGGGUCGUAAAGCUCUGUGGGGAGGGACGAACGUCCCGCCGAAGAGACGGGGGUGACGGUACCUCCUUAGCAAGCACCGGCUAACUUCGUGCCAGCAGCCGCGGUAAUACGAAGGGUGCAAACGUUGCUCGGAAUCAUUGGGCGUAAAGCGCACGUAGGCGGCGCUGCAAGUCGGACGUGAAAUCCCUCGGCUCAACCGAGGACGUGCAUCCGAAACUGCAGUGCUCGAGUAUGGAAGAGGGUCGCGGAAUUCUCGGUGUAGAGGUGAAAUUCGUAGAUAUCGGGAGGAACACCGAGUGGCGAAGGCGGCGACCUGGGCCAAUACUGACGCUGAGGUG
rnacentral:rRNA from 1 species